UGGGGAAUAUUGGACAAUGGGGGAAACCCUGAUCCAGCAAUGUCGCGUGUGUGAAGAAGGCCUGCGGGUUGUAAAGCACUUUAGUGGGGGAGGAAGGUGUCAGUAUUAAUACUGCUGACAAUUGACGUUACCCCAAGAAUAAGCACCGGCUAACUCUGUGCCAGCAGCCGCGGUAAUACAGAGGGUGCAAGCGUUAAUCGGAAUUACUGGGCGUAAAGGGUGCGUAGGUGGUAAGUUAAGUUGGAUGUGAAAGCCCUGGGCUUAACCUAGGAACUGCAUUCAAAACUGAUUUACUAGAGUCGGGUAGAGGGAGGUGGAAUUUCCGGUGUAGCGGUGAAAUGCGUAGAUAUCGGAAGGAACACCAGUGGCGAAGGCGGCCUCCUGGAUCCAGACUGACACUGAGGCACGAAAGCGUGGGGAGCAAACAG
rnacentral:rRNA from 1 species